UAUUUAGCAGCAUCCCCAGACUCCGCCUGCUACGUGCCAGUAGCACUCCUCAGUGUGACAGCCAAAAUGAUUUCAGAUAUUGUCAAAUAUCCCCAGGGAGGCAAAGUCACCUCCAGUUGACAACUGCUGACCUAAAAACCUCUGGAACAAUGUUAGAUCAUGGUAAUGAUAACACAUACUGCUCCUGAGCUUAAUGGGAAUACCUCUAGCAUCAAAGUAUAGUAGUCCCUGUAUACUACUCUCUGGGCUGUGAUCAGCACACUGUAUUAGUCCAUUCUCAUGCUGCUAUGAAGAAAUACCCAAAACUGGGUAAUUUAUAAAGAAAAAAUGUUUAAGAUGACUCAGUUCUGUAUGGUUGGGGAUGCCUCAGGAAACUUACAAUUAUAGCAGAAGACACCUCUUCACAGGGCAGCAGGAGAGAGAAGGGGAGCCGAGCAAAGGGGAAAGCCUGUUGUAAAACCAUCAGGUCUCGUGAGAACUCACUCCCUAUCGCGAGAACAGCAUGGGAGAAACUGCUCCCAUGAAUCAGUUAUCUCUACCUGGUCCUGCCCUUGACACGUGGGGAUUAUUGCAUCUCAAGGUGAGAUUUGGAUGGGAACAGAUCUAAACCAUAUCAUACCCUUUAUUUUAGCAUACUGUAUCAAAGCAUAAUUUUCUUUGUUCUUUUGUUGUUGUUGUUUGAGACAGAGUCUUGCUCUGGCUCUGGCUGGAGUGCAGUGGCAUGAUCUCAGCUCAUGGCAACCUCCACCUCCUGGGUUUAAGGAAUUCUUGUGCCUCAGCCUCCCAAGUAGCUGGAACUACACCCAGCUAAUUUUAAUUUUUUUUUUUUUUUUUAAAGUACACAUAGGGUUCGACAUGUUGGCCAGGCUGGUGUCAAACUCCUGGCCUCAAGUGAUCCCACCACUUCAGCCUUCCAAAGUGCUGGGAUUACAUGCAUGAGCCACUGCACCCAGCCUGAAGUAUAAUUUUCACAAUGUGAAAGGCUUGACUUUCAUACAAAUAAUGAAGGAAUAUGUAUAAGAUAUUUUCUUUAAUUUACAAGGGAGUCAGCAACACGGUGAAGCUAGUUCAAGGAGUGUUUUGAGAGACAGUGUCUGUAGUGCUCCAGGAAGGGCAUUCCAAAAUACGUUCUGAGGUAGAGACAAAACUUGUUAAUAUCCUAAAGGGAGGCUGGGCGUGGUGGCUCACACCUGUAAUCCCAGAACUUUGGGAGGCCGAGGCAGGUGGAUCACCUGAGGUCAGUUCAAGAUCAGCCUGACCAAUAUGGUGAAACCCUGUCUCUACUAAAAAUACAAAAAUUAUCCGGGCAAGGUGGUGGGCGCCUGUAGUCCCAGCUACUCAAGAGGCUGAGGCAGUAGAAUCGCUUGAACCCGGGAGGCAGAGGCUACAGUGAGCUGAGAUCAUGCCACUGCACUCCAGCCUAGGUGACAGAGCAAGAUUCUGACUCAAAAAAAAAAAAA
rnacentral:lncRNA from 1 species